rnacentral:rRNA from 1 species
UGGGCACUCUGGGGAGACUGCCAGGGAUAACCUGGAGGAAGGCGGGGAUGACGUCAAAUCAUCAUGCCCCUUAUGAUUUGGGCUACACACGUGCUACAAUGGCGUAAACAAAGGGAAGCGAACCUGCGAGGGUGGGCAAAUCCCAAAAAUAACGUCCCAGUUCGGACUGUAGUCUGCAACCCGACUACACGAAGCUGGAAUCGCUAGUAAUCGCGGAUCAGAAUGCCGCGGUGAAUACGUUCCCGGGUCUUGUACACACCGCCCGUCACACCAUGGGAGUCAGUAACGCCCGAAGUCAGUGACCUAACCGCAAGGAAGGAGCUGCCGAAGGCGGGACCGAUGACUGGGGUGAAGUCGUAACAAGGUAGCCGUAUCGGAAGGUGCGGCUGGAUCACCUCCUUUCUAAGGAA